rnacentral:rRNA from 1 species
UACGUAGGGGGCAAGCGUUAUCCGGAUUUACUGGGUGUAAAGGGGGCGCAGACGGCGAUGCAAGCCAGGAGUGAAAGCCCGGGGCCCAACCCCGGGACUGCUCUUGGAACUGCAUGGCUGGAGUGCGGGAGGGGCAGGCGGAAUUCCUGGUGUAGCGGUGAAAUGCGUAGAUAUCAGGAGGAACACCGGCGGCGAAGGCGGCCUGCUGGACCGCGACUGACGUUGAGGCUCGAAAGCGUGGGGAGCGAACAGG